CAAAAACAUGGCUCUUUGAGAUUUAUAUAUAAAGAGUCGGGCCUGCCCAGUGAUGUAUUUUUAACGGCCGCGGUACUCUGACCGUGCGAAGGUAGCAUAAUCAUUUGCCCUAUAAUUGAGGGCUAGUAUGAAUGGUUUGACAUGAGCAUAACUGUCUCCUUAAAAUUUUAUAAAAUUUGGUUUUUAGGUGAAGAAACCUAAAUUAAAUUGAAAGACAAGAAGACCCUAUCGAGCUUUAGAAUAAUUAGUUAAAAAAUAUAAAUAAAACAAUUAAUUUUAAUUAAAAACUUUGGUUGGGGCGACUGAGGAACAUAUAAAGCUUCCUUAAUUAAACAAUGCUGAUAAGCAACGAUCCAGGAAAUCUGAUUAAAAAAAUUAGUUACCGUAGGGAUAACAGCAUAAUCUUUUUUGAGAGCUCUUAUCGAAAAAAAGGUUUGUGACCUCGAUGUUGGACUAGGAUAUCCUAAAGAUGUAGAAGUCUUUAAUGGUUGCUCUGUUCGAGCAUAAAAAUCCUACGUGAUCUGA
rnacentral:rRNA from 1 species